AACGUUUCGACACUCCAGUCUAGUGUCUUCAUCAGUGGUCAUCUAAAGUUGCAAUCGUGGCUUCUUAAAUACCCGAGGGAUGACGUCACCUGCCAAUGAGACGCAUGUAUUCCUCUGGCAAAUAAGCACCGUCAUCCCUAUUCAAAGCAUGCAUGAUUACUCAUAUUUAUAUGCCACGCUUCUAGGCAUAGUCUUUGACCAAUAGCGAUUGUUUGUGGUAAUUACUUUAGAGUUUUCCCACGCAAUCUCGUGUUUGGUGUCACGCACAUGUUCUGCUUAAAGUUGAUUUUCCCUUGUCUAAAGUCGAAACAGCUUUUUGAUGUUCUUUUAGCCGUGCACCAAACUGGCGUUUAGACUGACCCAAAUACUCCUUCUCGCAGUCACCGCAUGGUAUAGAAUAAACAAAACUGUAUAUUAAACUAAAGAUUAUUUUUAUUGCUUCUCUGAAAAGUAGGAAUGGAUACAUAUAAUAUAUUCAUAACUAUUGAUUAAGGUCAAAAUUUGCGGGAAAAUGAAGAACAUGCUAGGGGCAAAAUCGUUUCGAAACUUUGUAAUCCGACAGAAUAAAUCCGUAUGUUGUGACGCGAAAUAGGUGCGCGGUCAGACGGAAAAAGCGGCAUAUCUCAAUCGGAGCAUGCGUAGUCGCAAAGUAGGAGCAAAUUCAGAAUCGCUUCACUCUGACGAAUAUUUCGAUUCUAAAUUAUUGUUGUUUCGUCCUAAAUAUCUGGUGGCAAAAUGAGUAUUUCUUCAACCAAGUCUUCGUGGCACUACAGACCGCUGUGAGAGAUCUGGCCCGAUGUAUCGCAUUUCUUGAUAUAGCAGUAUUUGCAUUAUAUUAUAUAUUAUAUCCCUCCAUGCGUUUAUAUGGACUUUAUAUUUAUGUUUAUAUCAAUUCAGACCUAAAAAUGAUUUAAAUUUGAAAUGCUUGUCUAUGUUUGAUAUGCGCAUUAGAGUAUAUCACUACAUAUGUCCUACUUAUAUGGGCAAUUUACUGGUAUAUGCAAUUUGCGGGCUGUGUGCGGGCUAACGCGCGCGUUGAAUAAACAGUAAACAAAAUAAUAAAGGGUUGAAACAUCGACGAGUGCCGGAAUUUAAAGCACAAUAUCAGUGUGUUUAAAUACAAAAAUCUGAGUUUUAUAAUGUUAUUAGGUCGACUAGGGCACAGAAUACUAUACAGAAGUCCAUAUUCGUCACUCAGCAAGCACCGUAAACAGAAGCAGUCCGCCUGGGAAUAUCUAAAAUGGCACACGCCCGGGGGGGGUGACUGCUUCUGUUUACGGUACUUGCUGAGUGACGAAUCAUGAUAAAUAGCGCUUACUUCCUACUACACACUCCACAAUUCUCUGAAAUCAUAUGGAAAAUAUUAAAUAGUAUUGCCAGUAUUGUAGCUGUUGCAAAACACAAUUACAAAAUCAGCGAUCGGCCGGCCGGGAAAAUUUCAAACAAAUAUAUGAAUUAACUUACCAGUCAACCGCGAUAUUUUUGGGAUUUUAAAAAUUAGUUGCAGAUGACAAGUUUGUAAUCAGAAAGGAAAUUUCUGAAAGAAUGUCUUUUGUUGAAAUUUAUAGAAACUUAAGUCGAUAAUUUGUCAAUGUCACAGCAACCUGUAGAAGUUGAUGGAACACAUACUUCCGGCACGCAACAUCCCUUUAUUAUUUUCUUUACUGUUACCGCAAAUCGCAUGCUUUAACACUGGGCUAUAUAUUUUCAUAUGUAAUGCUGAUACAUAACUUCAAUAAGACCGGGGAUGGGCUCCUAUGGUUUAAGGCCUCC